rnacentral:rRNA from 1 species
CCUACGGGUGGCAGCAGUGAGGAAUAUUGGUCAAUGGGCGGAAGCCUGAACCAGCCAAGUAGCGUGCAGGAUGACGGCCCUACGGGUUGUAAACUGCUUUUAUACGGGAAUAACGUGCCUUACGUGUACGGCUUUGCAUGUACCGUAUGCAUAAGGACCGGCUAAUUCCGUGCCAGCAGCCGCGGUAAUACGGAAGGUCCGGGCGUUGUCCGGAUUUAUUGGGUUUAAAGGGAGCGUAGGCGGCAUGUUAAGCGUGCUGUGAAAUGCCCGGGCGCAACCCGGGCCGUGCAGCGCGAACUGGCGUGCGUGAGUGGGCGGAAGGCAGGCGGAAGUCGAGGUGUAGCGGUGAAAUGCUUAGAUA